CUCAUCUUGUUAGCUUCCGUUGUCAUCGGAUUUGCUGCAGCGGGUCAUCACGGAUAUGGAGGACAUGACAAUGCUCAUUACAAAUUUGAGUACGGCGUCAAUGAUCCCCACACCCACGACCACAAAUCGCAGUAUGAACACAGACAUGGACCUCAUGUUACCGGUGGAUACACUUUAAAGGAAGCUGAUGGUACUCACCGUAUUGUGAAGUACACAUCUGGUCCUCACACUGGUUUCGAGGCUGUCGUUGAACGAGUUGGUCAUGCUCAACAUCCAGCUCAUUACGGACAUGGUCAUGGACACGGGCAUGGACAUGGAGGAGUCGGAGGAACCAGCUAUGUUGGAGUUACCCACUGGAGCAACCAAGGUCAUGACGGACAUGGAUAUUGAUUCAAUUCUAUGUUUUAUUAUUUCGUUGAGAAAAUAUAAUUGUUUGAAACAA